ensembl:lncRNA
AGAGAGAGAGAGAGAGAGCGAGCGAGAGAGAGAGCAUAAAUCAGCCAAAGGCUUGUUAGGGAGGCGAUGACAUAAAGAACAUAAAAAGCAAACAAUAAAAAAGGGAAGUUACCAAACUGUACAUUCUUGAGGGAAAAUGGAAAUGAGUUGGUAGCAGAGAGGAAGAAAAAAGGAAGCAUGUAUAAGACAAAACAGAAGCUGGGAUUGAGGCCAACGGGGAGAGGAUUUCAGUUACCCACAUGUGCCCGAUGGCCUGCUCGUCUGGUCUGUAUAAGCCUGGGAGCGGCCUGGGAAUAUUCCAUGUCACCCCCUCCUGUUGACAGCCUCUGAUGCAUUGAGGAAGCAUCCUGAGAAGCUUUGGCUGUUGGUUCCCACCCUCAGCCUGGUGGCCUUGUCUUGGUCCAGGCUCUCAUCCUGGUGACAUGAGGCUUGUCCCCCAGCCUAAGUAUUGACAGACCAGUUUACCAAAAGGAAAUGUUAGAAGGCUCUGAGGAUCUUUCACUGCCCACGGGCUGAACUCCAAACCACUGGUGUCAUAUCCAGGACCCUUUAUUACCUGAGGAGGUAACUGAACUUCAAACCCCUCCCCUGCACACAGUGGCUCUGUGACCUGGAAAUCUCUGCAGGUCUUCAAACAAGAAGUUUUGCUGAGAACUGGGGACAGGGUGAGUGUUCCUACUGCCGCUCCCCCGCCCAGCUCCCUCUCUGCUCAGGGCACCUUCUGCCGUCAACUCAGGCACGGUUAUCACUUCCUCCUUCAGGCCACCGUCUUGUUCCCCUGUACUCAUACUCCAUUUGAAUUUUUUGUUAUUUUGUCUGUUUUUACUACUAGACGGUGAGCUGCUGCUGGCGGUGGACUUUGUGCCUACCUGUUUUUGUGGUGUUAUGGCCUGUCACUGACGCCUGGAAUAUCCUUGAUGUAAUUCUGAAAGUGUUGCUCAAAGGGAACCAAGAAUUUGGCAAGAGCACAGCCAGAUGACUCAUCUUGCCCGGAUAACUGGGGCCUCAUCUGGGAUAACACACACGUCAAGGACUGGAGCAGUUGAGGGAUGGGUUUGCAUCUUUUUCUCUCCAGUGCAAUCUUGCAGCCUGUUGUAUCAUGAACUAAGGAUGCCCAUGAGCCAAGCAAAGUUUUAAAAUGUAUCAAUGUUUUUAAAAAAAUCUGAAGAAGAAUAAAGCUCCAUGAAGUCUCAAAGUUAUAUGAGAUUCAAAUUUGUAGCCAUAAAUAAAGCUUCGUUCACACGGCAACACACACUUGUUUAAAUGUUAUCCACUCUGUGCAACUGUAUAUCCUGAAAAACAGUAACCACUGCGCCCUUUAUGGAAAAAUCUGCUGCCCUUUAUG